rnacentral:lncRNA from 1 species
GAAAUAGUAUUAUGGGAAGUUGAUGAAAGUGGUACACUGUCUAUAAUAAUGGACAUAGAAACUCCCAAGGUGGCUGAAGUUGUAAGUUUUGAUAAAUAUAGGAAGAUGUGGUAUGAGUGCCAAUGAGACCAAUCUCCAUCCAAGUCACAAUUUAUAAAAGAAAGCCAUUAUAGGUCAAGGUACAGUCUUCAACAAGGAGCCUUGGCCCAAAAUGAACAGCAAACUAUGAUGCUCCCCAAAAAUUACUAGUGUGAAACCAUUCAAAAGGGAAAACACACGGUAUAAAUUUACACAUUGCUUUGUAAUUGAUUCCUGGGAGACUGUCGUUUGUUGAUUUGUUGAGGUCAUGCCUUGGUAAUAUUCUCAAUUUAUGCUUAACAUGCUUAAGGACUUCGUAAAACUACUUGAAUAAGAAGUUAGUUCAAAUGUCUUUUUAUUGAUUUUACCAGGGUAAACACAUUUGAUGAAUAAAGAAAAAUGUACUUUUCUGAUUGCUUACCUUUGGAGUAUUUAGAAAUUCCACAUGUCAGCAAAUUUGCUUGCGUGGGUAAACUUUUCCUAUUAAUUCCCCAAAAUAUAUACCCCCACAAAUAACAUGAAUAAUAAGUAAUCCACUGAAUAGGCUGAAGCCUCAUAAUGAAAUAUUUGUUUAUUUUUCAGCGUCUGCUACUGGGGAAAGAAGGAGUUAACAUCAGGAAUAUAUCACAAGAAGCAAAACAAGGACUACUAAAUACUUUUAGAUGUGAACUUAACCUCAGACUACAAAUUAAACUGGCAAAAACAGCCAGAAAGUAAACAUCGGAAUAAUUAAAUGCAUCUAGGUGUGAACUUGAUAUGAGACUGCAUAUAAAACUUGCCAAAACAGCAUGGAAGUAAAACAAGGGAUACUUAAUGCAUUUAGGUGUAAACUUAAUCAUGAUAAUCCGAGACUGCAAAUUAAACUUGCAAAAACAGCUAGCAUAGAGUGGAACAAAGAUAGCUAAAUGUAUUUAUACGUGAAUUUUGAUCUGAAUCUGAAAUAAAAUUAGCCAAGAAGUAACACCAGGGUUACUUUAUGCAUUAAGGUGUAAACUUAAUAUUUGACUGCAAAUAAAAAUUAUCAAAACAA